GUGCUUACACAUGCAGUCGAACGGUGAACACGGAGCUUGCUCUGUGGGAUCAGUGGCGAACGGGUGAGUAACACGUGAGCAACCUGCCCCUGACUCUGGGAUAAGCGCUGGAAACGGCGUCUAAUACUGGAUACGAGUAGCGACCGCAUGGUCAGUUACUGGAAAGAUUUUUUGGUUGGGGAUGGGCUCGCGGCCUAUCAGCUUGUUGGUGAGGUAAUGGCUCACCAAGGCGUCGACGGGUAGCCGGCCUGAGAGGGUGACCGGCCACACUGGGACUGAGACACGGCCCAGACUCCUACGGGAGGCAGCAGUGGGGAAUAUUGCACAAUGGGCGAAAGCCUGAUGCAGCAACGCCGCGUGAGGGAUGACGGCCUUCGGGUUGUAAACCUCUUUUAGCAGGGAAGAAGCGAAAGUGACGGUACCUGCAGAAAAAGCGCCGGCUAACUACGUGCCA
rnacentral:rRNA from 1 species